UACGUAGGGUCCGAGCGUUGUCCGGAAUUAUUGGGCGUAAAGGGCUCGUAGGCGGUUCGUCACGUCGGGAGUGAAAACCAGGUGCUUAACACCUGGCUUGCUUUCGAUACGGGCAGACUAGAGGUAUGCAGGGGAGAACGGAAUUCCUGGUGUAGCGGUGAAAUGCGUAGAUAUCAGAGGAACACCGUGGCGAAGGCGGACGUCUCGGUCGAACAUUCAUGCGCUGAGGACGAAAGCGUGGGGAGCAAACAGG
rnacentral:rRNA from 1 species